rnacentral:rRNA from 1 species
UGUCUAGUCUGUAACUGACGCUGAGCUCGAAAGCAUGGGUAGCGAACAGGAUUAGAUACCCUGGUAGUCCAUGCGUAAACGAUGAGUGCUAAGUGUUGGAGGGUUCCCCUUCAGUGCUGCAGCUAACGCAUUAAGCACUCCGCCUGGGGAGUACGACCGCAAGGUUGAAACUCAAAGGAAUUGACGGGGGCCCGCACAAGCGGUGGAGCAUGUGGUUUAAUUCGAAGCUACGCGAAGAACCUUACCAGGUCUUGACAUCUUCUGCCAAUCUUAGAGAUAAGACGUUCCCUUCGGGGACAGAAUGACAGGUGGUGCAUGGUUGUCGUCAGCUCGUGUCGUGAGAUGUUGGGUUAAGUCCCGCAACGAGCGCAACCCUUAUUAUCAGUUGCCAGCAUUCAGUUGGGCACUCUGGUGAGACUGCCGGUGACAAACCGGAGGAAGGUGGGGAUGACGUCAAAUCAUCAUGCCCCUUAUGACCUGGGCUACACACGUGCUACAAUGGACGGUACAACGAGUCGCGAAGUCGUGAGGCUAAGCUAAUCUCUUAAAGCCGUUCUCAGUUCGGAUUGUAGGCUGCAACUCGCCUACAUGAAGUUGGAAUCGCUAGUAAUCGCGGAUCAGCAUGCCGCGGUGAAUACGUUCCCGGGCCUUGUACACACCGCCCGUCACACCAUGAGAGUUUGUAACACCCAAAGCCGGUGAGAUAACCUUCGGGAGUCAGCCGUCUAAGGUGGGACAGAUGAUUAGGGUGAAGUCGUAACAAGGUAACCA